rnacentral:rRNA from 1 species
UAGGCGUGUGACUGCGUACCUUUUGUAUAAUGGGUCAGCGACUUAUAUUCUGUAGCAAGGUUAACCGAAUAGGGGAGCCGAAGGGAAACCGAGUCUUAACUGGGCGUUAAGUUGCAGGGUAUAGACCCGAAACCCGGUGAUCUAGCCAUGGGCAGGUUGAAGGUUGGGUAACACUAACUGGAGGACCGAACCGACUAAUGUUGAAAAAUUAGCGGAUGACUUGUGGCUGGGGGUGAAAGGCCAAUCAAACCGGGAGAUAGCUGGUUCUCCCCGAAAGCUAUUUAGGUAGCGCCUCGUGAAUUCAUCUCCGGGGGUAGAGCACUGUUUCGGCAAGGGGGUCAUCCCGACUUACCAACCCGAUGCAAACUGCGAAUACCGGAGAAUGUUAUCACGGGAGACACACGGCGGGUGCUAACGUCCGUCGUGAAGAGGGAAACAACCCAGACCGCCAGCUAAGGUCCCAAAGUCAUGGUUAAGUGGGAAACGAUGUGGGAAGGCCCAGACAGCCAGGAUGUUGGCUUAGAAGCAGCCAUCAUUUAAAGAAAGCGUAAUAGCUCACUGGUCGAGUCGGCCUGCGCGGAAGAUGUAACGGGGCUAAACCAUGCACCGAAGCUGCGGCAGCGACGCUUAUGCGUUGUUGGGUA